rfam:Aspergillus carbonarius ITEM 5010 unplaced genomic scaffold ASPCAscaffold_23, whole genome shotgun sequence.
GGCAAGGUGGCCGAGCGGUUAAGGCGUUGGUUGUGAGUCUUCCCGACCAAUCAUAUUGUCUCCUCGAUAACAAGUACUGACAUCCCAUCCAGUUAGGUAUAGCUACCAAAUCACCAAUUCGAAAGAGCGUGGGUUCGAAUCCCAUCCUUGUCA